rnacentral:tRNA from 12 species
GGGGCCAUAGCUCAGUUGGGAGAGCGCUUGAAUGGCAUUCAAGAGGUCGUCGGUUCGAUUCCGUCUGGCUCCACCA